GAUGAACGCUGGCGGCGUGCCUAAUACAUGCAAGUCGAGCGAACGGACGAGAAGCUUGCUUUUCUGAUGUUAGCGGCGGACGGGUGAGUAACACGUGGAUAACCUACCUAUAAGACUGGGAUAACUUCGGGAAACCGGAGCUAAUACCGGAUAAUAUUUUGAACCGCAUGGUUCAAAAGUGAAAGACGGUCUUGCUGUCACUUAUAGAUGGAUCCGCGCUGCAUUAGCUAGUUGGUAAGGUAACGGCUUACCAAGGCAACGAUGCAUAGCCGACCUGAGAGGGUGAUCGGCCACACUGGAAAUGAGACACGGUCCAGACUCCUACGGGAGGCAGCAGUAGGAAAUCUUCCGCAAUGGGCGAAAGCCUGACGGAGCAACGCCGAGUGAGUGAUGAAGGUCUUCGGAUCGUAAAACUCUGUUAUUAGGGAAGAACAUAUGUGUAAGUAACUGUGCACAUCUUGACGGAACCUAAGCAGAAAGCCACGGCUAACUACGA
rnacentral:rRNA from 1 species